CCCGAUUCCUGCCACCUUCACAACUAGAAGAGGGAGCUAGACUAUUCUGUGGGCAUUACGCUCUUGAAAUUUAUGCUCAAAUGCACCAACAAGCACAACACCAUUUGGGUUUAAUUUUCUUUUUUAAACACAAAUUUAUUAACAUUUAUUUAUUACAUGGGAAUGAGACAUCUUAUGAAUACAUGGCACAGUAAUAUUUACACUCCAACAAGAGGCCAGUGCAGACACACAACUGAGAUGGAGGGGAGAGGAAACAGAGUACUGACCGGCGGCUUAAAAACAACAGAACGAUGGUUAUGCAGAAAUCGACACCCUCACAAGAAGCAUCUGGCAAAAACAAAAGACUCCUUUAAUAUCACAGCAUGCCAUUCAUAUAAUAGCCAUGAAUGUACAAAGUCUUUAAAAAUUAACAGUGAUCAUCUGUUCAGAGUGGGGUCUUAAGUCCCCAAUAGUGCUUCGCUCUGUUAGGGCAUGCUACUGCUCUGGAGGCUUACUUUCCCAUCUGCGGUCACUGCAAAAAGGGUCUGCUCCCCACCGAUGAGCUGGAUGGGGCGCAGGGUGGCCAGGGCCUCCGUCGGCGUGGGAACCUUCACUUUUGCACCCUCGAUGCCCCCCAGCUGGCCCCGAUGAUUGUGGCCCCAGCCAUAGAUGGUCCCGCUGCCCCCGGCCGACAGGGUCCAGUCAUCCGGCCGUCUGAAGCAGGGCAGCGUUUAGCCAAGGGUUAGGCACCAGUGUAGGGGUGCUUUAGCAUGAGCUGGUUAGAUUAAUGUGCCACAGCGUUCACCUGUUCAUCCACUGCACCAACUGUUCAUCAUGCUCCCUCUUGAACAACUCAUGGCUUUCAUGAAGUCCAUUCAUGGUUUCAUGAUCUGCCAUCAGCUCCCGGAUCUUCUUAGAAACCUAAUCAACAGUUUGCACAAUGCAGUAAUACAAGAAAUGCAAAACCUUCUGUGCAUAUGAAUAUUUAGGUAUUUUGAUACCUCGUCCAGGAAGGUGCGAGGCAGGGGCGUUCGUUUGUCCAGGGCCACUGCCACUCUGGAGGCGGUGCAGUAACGGCGGAACCAGGCCCAUUUAUGAGUCUCAGCACAGCAGGGCAGUGUGUCCAAUUCUAGAUCACACGCAAGUGCCACCAGCACCUAAACGUAGCAACAUUCAUUUUGCUUAGAGUUCGCGCACACACAGGCACUCACACACACCUUCCCUCGCUCAUACAGACCUUAAAGAAAGGGCUAUGUAGCAGUUGUUUGCCUCCUCUGACAAUAGGGUCCUCAUACUCAUACUGCCUCUGCAGAGCUUCAGGAAGCCCCUUCACUAGGGCAGCCAGAGCACUGCCUGUAAAACUCUACAACAGCACACAAACGGUUGAUCAGUCACAGGAACAGCUCCAAAUUACA
ensembl:lncRNA